rnacentral:misc_RNA from 1 species
GAUGAAGACGUAGCGAAAUGCGAUACGUAAUGUGAAUUGCAGAAUUCAGUGAAUCAUCGAGUCUUUGAACGCACAUUGCGCCCCCUGGUAUUCCGGGGGGCAUGCCUGUCCGAGCGUCAUUGCUGCCCUCAAGCACGGCUUGUGUGUUGGGCCUCCGUCCUCCUCCCGGGGGACGGGCCCGAAAGGCAGCGGCGGCACCGCGUCCGGUCCUCGAGCGUAUGGGGCUUCGUCACCCGCUCUUGUAGGCCCGGCCGGCGCUUGCCGACACAUCAAUCUUUUUUCCAGGUUGACCUCGGAUCAGGUAGGGAUACCCGCUGAACUUAAGCAUAUCAAUAAGCGGAGGA